rnacentral:rRNA from 1 species
GACGUAGGGUGCAAGCGUUGUCCGGAAUCACUGGGCGUAAAGGGCGCGUAGGCGGCUCAUGAAGGCUGUGGUGAAAGUCCGGGGCUCAACCUCGGAUCGGCCGUGGCGACUCGUGGGCUGGAGCACUGUAGAGGCGGGUGGAAUUCCGGGUGUAGCGGUGGAAUGCGUAGAGAUCCGGAAGAACACCAGUGGCGAAGGCGGCCCGCUGGGCAGUGGCUGACGCUGAGGCGCGACAGCGUGGGGAGCAAACAGG